UACGUAGGGUGCGAGCGUUAAUCGGAAUUACUGGGCGUAAAGCGUGCGCAGGCGGUUUUGUAAGUCUGACGUGAAAUCCCCGGGCUUAACCUGGGAAUUGCGAUGGAGACUGCAAGGCUAGAAUCUGGCAGAGGGGGGUAGAAUUCCACGUGUAGCAGUGAAAUGCGUAGAGAUGUGGAGGAACACCGAUGGCGAAGGCAGCCCCCUGGGUCAAGAUUGACGCUCAUGCACGAAAGCGUGGGGAGCAAACAGG
rnacentral:rRNA from 1 species